UUUAGUCAGCUUGAACUUUGGCAUGGCGGUGCCGGCUGCUGCUAUGGGGCCCUCAGCGCUAGGCCAGAGCGGUCCGGGCUUGAUGGCCGCCUGGUGCUCAGUGAGCAGCAGUCUGUUGCACUGUGUGGUUGGAAUGCAGAAGCUCUUCCAGGGCUACAGUAAGACAUGCAAGUUCCUGGCACAGAGUGCCAAGGUAUACUCGGAGGCGUGAAGCUGCGACAGCCGUCGCUUAGCUUCGGGAGCCUUUUGACAAGACAGUGUGUUCUUGCUGGAGAAAGACCGGCUGGUCAAAGAAAACAAUUAUCGGGGACAUGGGGAUAGUGUGGACCAGCUUUGUUGGCACCCAAGUAAUCCUGAUCUUUUUGUCACAGCAUCUGGAGAUAAAACCAUUCGCAUCUGGGAUGUGAGGACUACAAAAUGUAUUGCCACUGUGAGUACUAAAGGAGAGAACAUUAAUAUCUGCUGGAGUCCUGAUGGGCACACCAUUGCUGUAGGCAACAAGGAUGAUGUGGUGACCUUUACUGAUGCCAAGAUACAUCAUUCCAAGCAGAGGAACAACUCAAGUAUGAGGUCAAUGAAAUUUCCUGGAACAACGACAGUUCCUGACAAACGGCGAUGGUUGUAUCAACAUGCUCGGCUACCCAGAACUGAAGCCUGUGCAACUCAUCAAUGCUCACCCUUCUAACUGCAUCUGUAUCAAGUCUGAUCCCAUAGUGAAAUACUUUGCUACAGAAAGUGCUGAUGCUUUGGUCAGUCUCUGGGAUGUGGAUGAGUUAGUGUGUGUGCAGUGCUUUUCCAGACUGGAUUGGCCUGAGGACCCUCAGUUUUAGCCAUGAUGGGAAAAUGCUGGUAUCAGCUUUGGAGGAUCAUUUUAUUGAUAUACCUCAAAUACAGUGUGAGUCCCCAACCUUCACCAUGGCCUAGCACCCUAAGAGGCCUCUGCUAGCAUUUGCCUGUGACAACAAAGAUGGGAAAUAUGACAGCAGCCGGGAAGCUGGAACUGUAAAGCUGUUUGGCCUUCCCAGUGAUCCCUGAGAGGAGGGCCUGGCAGAGACCUUACUGAGUGUAGCUUGUUCUCCUGGACUUGGUGGGCGCCCUUCCA